rnacentral:rRNA from 2 species
GACAGAGGGUGCAAACGUUGUUCGGAAUUACUGGGCGUAAAGCGAGUGUAGGCGGUUUCCUAAGUCGGAUGUGAAAGCCCCGGGCUCAACCCGGGAAGUGCAUUCGAAACUGGGAGGCUAGAGUGUCGGAGAGGUUGGUGGAAUUCUCGGUGUAGAGGUGAAAUUCGUAGAUAUCGAGAGGAACACCGGUGGCGAAGGCGGCCAACUGGACGAACACUGACGCUGAGACUCGAAAGCGUGGGGAGCAAACAGG